rnacentral:SRP_RNA from 1 species
GCUGGGUAUGGUGGUGUGUGCCUGUAGUCCUAGCUACCUGGGAGGCUGAGGUGGGAGAAUCGCUCGAGCCCAGGAGGUUGAGGCUGCAGUGAGCCAAGAUCAUGCCACUGCACUCCAGCAUGGGUGACAGAGCGAGACCUCAUCUCAA